rnacentral:rRNA from 1 species
UGGGGAAUUUUGGACAAUGGGCGCAAGCCUGAUCCAGCCAUGCCGCGUGAGUGAAGAAGGCCUUCGGGUUGUAAAGCUCUUUCGGCAGGAACGAAAUGGUUCGUGCUAAUACCACGGACUGAUGACGGUACCUGAAGAAGAAGCACCGGCUAACUACGUGCCAGCAGCCGCGGUAAUACGUAGGGUGCAGGCGUUAAUCGGAAUUACUGGGCGUAAAGCGUGCGCAGGCGGUUUCUUAAGUCAGAUGUGAAAGCCCCGGGCUUAACCUGGGAACUGCGUUUGAAACUGGGAGACUUGAGUGUGGCAGAGGGGGGUGGAAUUCCACGUGUAGCAGUGAAAUGCGUAGAUAUGUGGAGGAACACCAAUGGCGAAGGCAGCCCCCUGGGUCAACACUGACGCUCAUGCACGAAAGCGUGGGGAGCAAACAG